CCUACGGGGGGCAGCAGUCGAGAAUCAUUCACAAUGGGGGAAACCCUGAUGGUGCGACGCCGCGUGGGGGAAUGAAGGUCUUCGGAUUGUAAACCCCUGUCAUGUGGGAGCAAAGUACAAUGAUAGUACCACAAUAGGAAGAGCCGGCUAACUCUGUGCCAGCAGCCGCGUUAAUACAGAGGUCUCAAGCGUUGUUCGGAAUCACUGGGCGUAAAGCGUGCGUAGGCUGUUUCGUAAGUCGUGUGUGAAAGGCGCGGGCUCAACCCGAGGACGGCACAUGAUACUGGGAGACUAGAGUAAUGUAGGGGGAAGCGGAAUUCUCGGUGUAGCAGUGAAAUGCGUAGAUAUCGAGAGGAACACUCGUGGCGAAGGCGGGUUGCUGGACAGUAACUGACGCUGAGGCACGAAGGCCAGGGGAGCGAAAGGGAUUAGAUACCCGAGUAGUC
rnacentral:rRNA from 1 species